ensembl:lncRNA
UCUCUUUCUUUCUUUCUUUCUCUCUUUCUUUCUUUCUCUCUUUCUUUCUUUUUGACUUAACUGGAAUCAUUUCUCCAUUCAUGGAAGACUGGGACAGUUUUGAUAGGCUCGCAGAUGCCAUAAACCAAAAGAAACAACACAUUCAGCCAGCCAGGAUCGCUUCACUGGAUCCAUAUUUCACCAAAACAUGCAAAUCUGAUCAAAAUGAAACACUUCAGAAAACAUACUGAUUUUGUCAGCACUUCGGUUUGAGAAAACAGAAGGGAGGAACACUUCAACUCCUGUUGAAAUGUGCUGUUUUAAGAAUCAAAGGAGGCAAAUGUAGCAUGGAUCCUGAAAGCUGAUGAUGAGCACACAGAAUCCAAACCUGACUCACAAAAAGAACAAGACGGGUUUUAUUACAAAUGGAAAUAACAGGAUAACUCCAAACAAACAAGGAAGCUCGGCGGGAAGAGAUGAGAUUUGGAGAUGGGGAAUGGAUACUUUCAGGAGUUCAUACAUCCACGUGGGAGCAGCGCGCAGGGCAACAGAGGGUGCCAUUGUGCCAUUGUGCUCCUCCUGCAGGGUGGGUGAGGGUGGUUUUCCCUGUGAGCUCCGAGAUCUGGCAGAUAAAACACAAUCGGAUUGAUUUAUUUAUAAAUCUCCAAGAAGCUUUGUUUGCACAGCAGGCUUGGCAGUACAAGCAGAAGUGCACUGUGCAUGUUUUCAUGUAUAUACGUAGAAAUUAAUUAACACACAUAUUUCUGGGGAAGCGCCUACAUGCAAUAAAGCACACCUCCUAGGAGGACUGUGACAAGUGACCAAAGCACAUUUUCCUUCCUCGCUUCAUUUGCAUUUCAUCCACUAAUUUCUUGAUCUGUCAGUCUGCAUGCUCCCAGCUAAGCCUUGUCUCUUCCCCACUCCCCAGUGCUUUGGCAUUAGGAUAUUUCCCCACAAAUCUACUCUGGCUUGUGGUC